UCGGGUUGUAAAGCACUUUUGUCCGGAAAGAAAACUUCGGCCCUAAUACGGCGGGAGGAUGACGGUACCGGAAGAAUAAGCACCGGCUAACUACGUGCCAGCAGCGCGGUAAUCGUAGGGUGCGAGCGUUAAUCGGAAUUACUGGGCGUAAAGCGUGCGCAGGCGGUUCGUUAAGACAGAUGUGAAAUCCCCGGGCUUAACCUGGGAACUGCAUUUGUGACUGGCGAGCUAGAGUAUGGCAGAGGGGGGUAGAAUUCCACGUGUAGCAGUGAAAUGCGUAGAGAUGUGGAGGAAUACCGAUGGCGAAGGCAGCCCCCUGGGCCAAUACUGACGCUCAUGCGCGAAAGCGUGGGGAGCAAACAGGAUUAGAUACCCUGGUAGUCCACGCCCUAAACGAUGUCAACUAGUUGUUGGGGAUUCAUUUCCUUAGUAACGUAGCUAACGCGUGAAGUUGACCGCCUGGGGAGUACGGUCGCAAGAUUAAAACUCAAAGGAAUUGACGGGGACCCGCACAAGCGGUGGAUGAUGUGGAUUAAUUCGAUGCAACGCGAAAAACCUUACCUACCCUUGACAUGGUCGGAACCCUGCUG
rnacentral:rRNA from 1 species